rnacentral:rRNA from 1 species
AUGCAGGCGGACAUGAUGAAAAGGAACAUGCUGAAGCGUCGUCAUUAUAACAUUGGUGAAGUUCUUGACUGCCUUCUUUGUGGACAACAUAUUGAAGAAACUGUGGACCACAUGAUCUUCGCCUGCCCCUUCAGUAUAGUUUGUUGGGAGAAGAUUGACAUUGCCUGGCCGGAGUUUGACUCCAGACUUGAUCUGAUCGCACAAACCAAUGAGUCUGAGCAUAGACCUCUCUUCAUGGAAAAUUUUCUCACGGCAGCGUGGAGUUUGUGGAAAGAACGCAAUAACAAACACUUCAGAGGGGUCAACCCUAGUACCGAUUCCUGGUUGACACGUUUCAAGGGAGAUUUUGGCCUCCUACAGGGUGAAGGAGGCGCAAAGGUCUUUUGUAACUACUUUUUGUAA